GUGGAGGGCUGCGGGAAAUAAAACUACUUGCGCAGGAACUUGCUAGUUGGCGGCCCUGGCCCUAUGUUAGGUCCGCCGCGGGGAGUCGGUGGCGACUGAGAAUCGGAGGGAGGAAGGGAAGGAUAUCUCCUUGUUAGCCUAAAGCAUGCUUUUCUGUUUUUUCAUUCUUUACAGAUAGGUUAUUUUUCCUGGCACUGCCAGACACAGCAAAGUAGCGACACAAGCAGAGCCCAUCCUAGCCAUUGUUGUCUGAGCAUCCUGCCGGCAGGGGAGCUCAGGCCAGGCUUCUCUUUGGUGUUCUCACCUCUCCAGCCCCCGUCAUUGCGGAUGUACUGGAAUGACUCAAGUUUCUGUGUUCUUGUUUUGUUUUCUUUGUCGCCCCCCAACCCCUUCCGAUGGGAAUUUGAGAGAGCGUGCGAUUUUAUUUGAAAUCUCUGCAUUUGUAUUUUUACCGGUUCAUGAUGGUAGUUCUAGACAAACAUUUGCAUGGACUUUGAUACUCCCUCCUGCCGCACUCCGCAGCAAUUAAAAAUAAAAUAAACAGAGAAGCAUAGUGAAAAUUAGAUCAGAAAGAUAAAAUGACUGCUGCAAAUUCACACCAGAUUAAGGAUUUUUGCUUCCUUUGAAACAGGAACUUGGAAGUGUAAAACUUUACAAGUUUGGGUGACAAGCAUUUUGUAGAAUGUUAGAUUUGGGGAGCUCUUGAUUUUUUUCAAGAUAAUAAAUAAUACAGCUAAUUUUUCUUCCUGCAACGUUGGUUUUGUAGAGGUAUUGAGGGGGUUGUUUUGUUUGCUUUAGCGGUAAAUAAAACAAUCUGUUUUAUAUAAGUAUCUCAACACGUUUGAGGUUAACUUAUUUGCAGUAAAUGAACAUAUUUUGUCAAGUCACACUCAGCUUUGGGCAACUGAAAUAUUAACAUUUGAAUCCGAGUUUCAAGACACUGAUCAUUUGAGAAUUUGACAAUGAACCUGAAAAAAAUCAAAUGCUAAUUUCUUUGACAUAAGUGAUGCAGCUUUUAAUAAUGUACGUUUGCUAGCUGGGCUUUUAAAUUUUUAAUAUUAAUUGGAAGACUUAUUCAAUUUUAAUUAAAACAUAAUAUUGCAAAUCAGUUUUAUGGCACUAAAUUUUCUCGUGGUUUUUCUUCUCAAAAACUAAGAAAGGUUAUGUUAAUUAAAUUUCAAAGAUGUGAUGAAGGGCUUGGGCUAAUAUAGUAAUCAGUGCACUUUGUUCUUUUCCCUUCUUCUAAAUGUUAUUGCCAUAGGAAUGCUAACAGCAGUAAAGUUAUCUUCACAAUAGCAUGUUUAUAAAUUUUAUUUUCAGGGAGUAUCUCAUAGCAGAAGACAUCAGUCAGGGAAUGUCCACACCUAGUGAUUCAGGCUUCAUCCUGGCCAUGGGAUCUUCCUUCACCCUCUUCUCAGUAGUAGCAGUGGUUAAUGUUUAUUAUCAUUCUUAUUAAAGCUCUCUGGCAUGACCAUCUUGCCUUCUUUAAUGUGGUUCUGGAACUUGAAGAUCCAUCCCCUCAAUACAGCCUGGCUGCCAAGCACGUACCAG
rnacentral:lncRNA from 1 species